GGUUAGUGUGUCAAAGAGUGUUAGUGUUUUAGUGUGUCAGGGAUAUGUUAGUGUGCUGGGGUUAGUGUUAGUGUGUCAGGGAUAGUGUGUUAGUGUGUCAGGGAUAGUGUGUCAGGGAUAGUGUGUCAGGGAUAGUGGUAGUGUGUCAGGGAUAGUGGUAGUGUGUCAGGGAUAGUGUGUCAGGGAUAGUGUGUCAGGGAUAGUUUUAGUGUUUUAGUGUGUCAGGGAUAUGUUAGUGUUAGUGUGUUAGUGU